GACGAACGCUGGCGGCGUGCCUAAUACAUGCAAGUCGUGCGGACCUUGUUGAAAGCUUGCUUUUAAAAGGUUAGCGGCGGACGGGUGAGUAACACGUGGGCAACCUGCCUGUAAGACUGGGAUAACGCCGGGAAACCGGGGCUAAUACCAGAUCGUUUUUUCCUCCGCAUGGAGGAAAAAGGAAAGGCGGCUUCGGCUGCCACUUACAGAUGGGCCCGCGGCGCAUUAGCUAGUUGGCGGGGUAAUGGCCCACCAAGGCAACGAUGCGUAGCCGACCUGAGAGGGUGAUCGGCCACAUUGGGACUGAGACACGGCCCAAACUCCUACGGGAGGCAGCAGUAGGGAAUCUUCCGCAAUGGACGAAAGUCUGACGGAGCAACGCCGCGUGAGUGAAGAAGGCCUUCGGGUCGUAAAACUCUGUUGCUGGGGAAGAACAAGUGCCGUUCGAACAGGGCGGCGCCUUGACGGUACCCGGCCAGAAAGCCACGGCUAACUACGUG
rnacentral:rRNA from 1 species